GAUGAAGAACGCAGCGAAAUGCGAUAAGUAAUGUGAAUUGCAGAAUUCAGUGAAUCAUCGAAUCUUUGAACGCACCUUGCGCCCUUUGGCCAUUCCGAAGGGCAUGCCUGUUUGAGUAUCAUGAACACCUCAACUCUUCAUGGUUUUCCAUGAUGAGCUUGGACUUUGGGGGUCUUGCUGGCCUGUGGGUCGGCUCCUCUCAAAUGAAUCAGCUUGCCGGUUUUUGGUGGGCAUCACAGGUGUGAUAACUAUCUACGCUUGUGGUGUUCCACCAGGGUAACCUUCAGCAGUGGAGGUUCACUGGAGCUUACAAAUGUCUCUCCUCUGUGAGGACAGCCCUUUGAAUGUUUGAUCUCAAAUCAGGUAGGACUACCCGCUGAACUUAAGCAUAUCAAUAAGCGGAGGA
rnacentral:misc_RNA from 1 species